CUUGGACUGUCUGACUUUUGACUACUGGUAUGUUAAUGUAUUCCAGGAAUGCUCUUUAAAUUUUAAUAUUUACUCUGUAUUUACUGUUCUUAUGGAGUGGUUAACCUGGGCUGGGAGUAAUCAUCUAUUAUUAUUCACCCUGCAGUGUGUCAGAAGCACAACUUACCUGCCACAGAAAAUUUGUACCUGCAUUCAUCUAGAAUUGAAUAGCGGAUUCAGUAACUGUGGAGUUCAGCUUGGAUGUCUUUCUCACCUAGAAUGAUGGCAAUUUGUAACUACACAGUUAUCAGAGUUCCCAAAGUGCAAGUUCUUCCAAGUAGCUGAGACCCUGCAAGAGGCAGCGAUGCUGGUGGCCUGCAGCAUGUACUGGCUGUGCCCACACAGGAGCCAGCUACGAUGGGUCCAUGUACCCUGACAGAAUUCACCCAUCAGAAGUACUGCCAUGUGCCUUCCUUGUGAGAGCAAGCAGGAUGCAAAACUGGAUUGGAAACAAGAGCUCUCCAAACACAUUGCAGCCAUGCCAUGAAACUUACCAUGUACAUGGCACCUUGCAGAUGAUGUGUCAGAAAACAGUGAUAAGGGUUAAUAAGCAAUCCUAUUGUCUGCAUAUACCGUGGUCAUAG
rnacentral:lncRNA from 14 species